rnacentral:rRNA from 1 species
AUUGAACGCUGGCGGCAUGCUUUACACAUGCAAGUCGGACGGCAGCACAGAGAAGCUUGCUUCUUGGGUGGCGAGUGGCGAACGGGUGAGUAAUAUAUCGGAACGUACCGAGUAAUGGGGGAUAACUAAUCGAAAGAUUAGCUAAUACCGCGUAUUCUCUGAGGAGGAAAGCAGGGGACCUUCGGGCCUUGCGUUAUUCGAGCGGCCGAUAUCUGAUUAGCUAGUUGGUGGGGUAAAGGCCUACCAAGGCGACGAUCAGUAGCGGGUCUGAGAGGAUGAUCCGCCACACUGGGACUGAGACACGGCCCAGACUCCUACGGGAGGCAGCAGUGGGGAAUUUUGGACAAUGGGCGCAAGCCUGAUCCAGCCAUGCCGCGUGUCUGAAGAAGGCCUUCGGGUUGUAAAGGACUUUUGUCAGGGAAGAAAAGGCUGUUGCUAAUAUCGACAGCUGAUGACGGUACCUGAAGAAUAAGCACCGGCUAACUACGUG